UCCGGAAUGGUGUAGUGGUUAGCAUUUCUGCCUUUCAUCUGUCCCUAUUCAAGGGUAGGAAAGUAUCGCAGGAGACCGGGGUUCAAUUCCCCGUUCCGGAA